GUGGGGAAUAUUGGACAAUGGGGGGAACCCUGAUCCAGCCAUGCCGCGUGUGUGAAGAAGGCCUUUUGGUUGUAAAGCACUUUAAGCGAGGAGGAGGCUACCGAGAUUAAUACUCUUGGAUAGUGGACGUUACUCGCAGAAUAAGCACCGGCUAACUCUGUGCCAGCAGCCGCGGUAAUACAGAGGGUGCAAGCGUUAAUCGGAUUUACUGGGCGUAAAGCGCGCGUAGGUGGCCAAUUAAGUCAAAUGUGAAAUCCCCGAGCUUAACUUGGGAAUUGCAUUCGAUACUGGUUGGCUAGAGUAUGGGAGAGGAUGGUAGAAUUCCAGGUGUAGCGGUGAAAUGCGUAGAAAUCUGGAGGAAUACCGAUGGCGAAGGCAGCCAUCUGGCCUAAUACUGACACUGAGGUGCGAAAGCAUGGGGAGCAAACAGGAUUAGAAACCCGGGUAGUCC
rnacentral:rRNA from 1 species